UUUAAGUGCAACUGCUAGCAACACUGUCAUACGUUUUUCCAUCAAACUAGCAACAUUGUUCUCAUUCUGAGAGAAGAGUGAAAAAGAGAGUGCGAGAAAACAACAACCUUCUCACUUUCUCACUUUGCACCAAAAAAUAAACAAUGAUUGAAAGCUGUCGAAGCCAGCAGGCUCAAAACCUUUUUCAUCUCGCUUUGCAUCAUCAUCAUCCUCCUAACACGUACCAGUGCCAUUCCACCUUGUUGGUUGACCGCAACAAUAAGCCGCAUGCAGAAAUGGCGUUUUUGUCCUGCUGGUGGGUCCCGGAUUCCCCCGCCGAACUAAGCGGGCGGCGGACAUUUAAUUAGAUCUCUUCAAGCCAGUUCAAUCAGAAAGGCUUUCAAAAUUGUAUGUGGUAAUUAGAUUAUUAUAUUUUUUCAUGAAUAAAAGACAUCUUUAGACCAUCGUCAAAAA